GACGAACGCUGGCGGCGUGCCUAAUACAUGCAAGUCGAACGAGUGGCGGACGGGUGAGUACUUUCUGGGAAACUGCCCGAUGGAGGGGGAUAACUCCUGGAAUCGGUAUCUAAGUACCCAUACCAUCAGACGUGCCCAGAUGGGCUGAGCCUGCUGGUGGGGUAACGGUUCACCAAGGCCACGAUCCCUAGCUGGUCUGAGAGGAUGACCAGCGACAAUGGAAUUGAGACACGGUCCAGACUCCUACGGGAGGCAGCAGUGGGGAAUGUUGCACAAUGGGCGCAAGCCUGAUGCAGCCAUGCCGCGUGUAUGAAGAAGGCCUUCGGGUUGUAAAGUACUUUCAGCGGGGAGGCGUUACCCGCAGAAGAAGCACCGGCUAACUCAGCGCCAGCAGCCGCGGUAAUUC
rnacentral:rRNA from 1 species